rfam:Asian citrus Psyllid, Diaphorina citri - Florida Strain, whole genome shotgun sequence.
GCUUUGGUAGUGUAGUGGUGAAACCCUCGUCUUUCAAACAGGAAGGUGUGGGUUCAAUCCCAGCCGAAGCA